rnacentral:misc_RNA from 1 species
CCGAGUUUACAACUCCCAAACCCCUGUGAACAUACCACUUGUUGCCUCGGCGGAUCAGCCCGCUCCCGGUAAAACGGGACGGCCCGCCAGAGGACCCCUAAACUCUGUUUCCAUAUGUAACUUCUGAGUAAAACCAUAAAUAAAUCA